AGGAUGAACGCUAGCGGGAGGCCUAAUACAUGCAAGUCGAACGGUAACAUGGGUAGCAAUACCUGAUGACGAGUGGCGCACGGGUGCGUAACGCGUACACAAUCUGCCUUAUACUGGGGUAUACCCUCAAGAAAUUGAGACUAAUUCCCCAUAACGUUGCGAAAUGGCAUCAUUUUGCAACUAAAGAUUCAUCGGUAUAAGAUGAGUGUGCGUCCGAUUAGGUAGUUGGUGGGUAACGGCUCACCAAGCCAACGAUCGGUAGCUGGU
rnacentral:rRNA from 1 species